AACGAACGCUGGCGGCAUGCCUAACACAUGCAAGUCGAACGAGACCUUCGGGUCUAGUGGCGCACGGGUGCGUAACGCGUGGGAAUCUACCCUUAGGUUCGGAAUAACUCAGGGAAACUUGAGCUAAUACCGGAUGAUGACUUCGGUCCAAAGAUUUAUCGCCUAAGGAUGAGCCCGCGUAGGAUUAGCUAGUUGGUGAGGUAAAGGCUCACCAAGGCUACGAUCCUUAGCUGGCUGAGAGGAUGAUCAGCCACACUGGGACUGAGACACGGCCCAGACUCCUACGGGAGGCAGCAGUGGGGAAUAUUGGACAAUGGGCGAAAGCCUGAUCCAGCAAUGCCGCGUGAGUGAUGAAGGCCUUAGGGUUGUAAACUUCUUUUAUCUGGGAAGAAUCAUAAAUUCUUUUAUGUUGACGUACCAGUGAAUAGCACCGGCUAACUCCGUGCCAGCAG
rnacentral:rRNA from 1 species